rnacentral:rRNA from 1 species
AGUGAACGCUGGCGGUAGGCCUAACACAUGCAAGUCGAACGGCAGCACAGUAAGAGCUUGCUCUUACGGGUGGCGAGUGGCGGACGGGUGAGGAAUACAUCGGAAUCUACUUUUUCGUGGGGGAUAACGUAGGGAAACUUACGCUAAUACCGCAUACGACCUACGGGUGAAAUCAGGGGAUCUUCGGACCUUGCGCGAUUGAAUGAGCCGAUGUCGGAUUAGCUAGUUGGCGGGGUAAAGGCCCACCAAGGCGACGAUCCGUAGCUGGUCUGAGAGGAUGAUCGGCCACACUGGAACUGAGACACGGUCCAGACUCCUACGGGAGGCAGCAGUAGGGAAUAUUGGACAAUGGGCGCAAGCCUGAUCCAGCCAUACCGCGUGGGUGAAGAAGGCCUUCGGAUUGUAAAACUCUUUUAUUAGGGAAGAAAAGCAGCAGAUGAAUCCCCCGCUGUUCUGACGGUACCCAAAGAGUAAGCACCGGCUAACUUCGUG